rnacentral:rRNA from 1 species
AUUGAACGCUGGCGGCAUGCCUUACACAUGCAAGUCGAACGGUAACAGGUCUUCGGAUGCUGACGAGUGGCGAACGGGUGAGUAAUACAUCGGAACGUGCCUAGUAGUGGGGGAUAACUACUCGAAAGAGUGGCUAAUACCGCAUGAGAUCUACGGAUGAAAGCAGGGGAUCGCAAGACCUUGUGCUACUAGAGCGGCCGAUGGCAGAUUAGGUAGUUGGUGGGAUAAAAGCUUACCAAGCCGACGAUCUGUAGCUGGUCUGAGAGGACGAUCAGCCACACUGGGACUGAGACACGGCCCAGGCUCCUACGGGAGGAAGCAGUGGGGAAUUUUGGACAAUGGGCGCAAGCCUGAUCCAGCAAUGCCGCGUGCAGGAUGAAGGCCUUCGGGUUGUAAACUGCUUUUGUACGGAACGAAAAGCCCCGGGUUAAUACCCUGGGGUCAUGACGGUACCGUAAGAAUAAGCACCGGCUAACUACGUGCCAGCCGCCGCCGUAA